GGGAUGUUCUCUUGAUAUUGUGUGGGAAUUGGACCAUUUUCCUGUUCUGCUGAGCAUUUCAAACACAACGAGUACUUUUGGGUGACAAGUUGAAAAAAAACUCCCCCACCUUUGAUACUUCAGUAUAAUUUCCAUCCGCCUCAGGGCGACCUCUACUGGCUGAAAUGGAAUACUGCAAUGGAACCACAUCUUUAAUGGAACUCACAUCCUCAGUGCAAUUUUCUCAAACAACUCUUCAUGAAUGACUCAGGGGUGAAAUAUGUGUUCAACUCUUCAUGAAUGACUCCGGGGUGAAAUAUGUGUUCAACUCUUCAUGAAUGACUCAGGGGUGAAAUAUGUGUUCAACUCUUCAUGAAUGACUCCGGGGUGAAAUAUGUGUUCAACUCUUCAUGAAUGACUCAGGGGUGAAAUAUGUGUUCAACUCUUCAUGAAUGACUCCGGGGUGAAAUAUGUGUUCAACUCUUCAUGAAUGACUCAGGGGUGAAAUAUGUGUUCAACUCUUCAUGAAUGACUCAGGGGUGAAAUAUGUGUUCAACUCGAAUGAAUGCACAAUCAAAGAUUCUGAACAUAAGACAAGGGGCAUUACAAGUGUUCUCAGUUUCAGAGUUUUGUACUUACAGUUUUGAAAAUAUACUACUUUACAUCUGAAAAACGCCCUGAAGCGAUUUAAAUAAAACUGUUAUUGACACCAAAAUGCUACAGCCAAUGUUAAUGUCAGAGAAGUGAAGUGAAGCUUGCUCAGAUGGAUUACAAAUACAAUAUCAGUGCUUUAUUAAAGAUUCCCUCCAUGGCUUUGAGUAGGGAGAUGGAUCCUGGUGUCUGAAACACGCCGUUUGGUGAGAAGCAGAUCCUGUGGUGAGCACGAGACUGAGGAGACCAUGUCUAUUCUUUUGAAUUUUGAUUGAGUGUUUGCCUAAUAAAGUCAUGCUAGGAGAUGUUAGUUAUCUCAUGAGACCAUUUGUUCCGUACCCCAUAUUGUGUUUCAGGUGCCAAUGGUUAUGGCCACUCAUGUUGCAGCAGUGUGUAGGAGGGAGAUUCCUAGAUGUGAGAAGUGUGCCAGAGGGCAUGGCACAAAUGAGUGUGUAAUUUCUGAGGAGAAAGUAGUUUGUUGCAAUUGUGGUGGCAGACCAUUUUGCUAGGUAUCAGAAAUGUCCUGUGCGAGUGAGACAGGUAUUGGCUGCCUAGGCUAUGAGACAGGUUGAGGUUGCCAGGGUUUGAGCAGAGCAGAAUGUGACAUGGGUGAUGGGCCAAGGGUGAGGGAUCAUGAGAGGAUACCAGUAAGUAGUAGGCCAGGACUGAGUGACCCAGACAGUUUGUGUUUUAGCAAGGUUGGUUUAAUUUUUAUGAUAAUUAACUGUAGCCUACUGCACAGAUGCAGGAAGUCACAGAAGAUAAAAGUAGCAGCAGUAAAAAAAGGUUUUUGUGAGUGAAAGAUUUUACGCAGGGCAGGCUUCAGGCAUAAGUGACAUAAGCCAUCGCAUAGGGCCCCCCCCCAGAAAAUAAAUACACUGAGUGUACAAAACAUUAAGAACACCCCCCCUUUUUGCCCUCAGAACAGCCUCAAUUUGUUGGUGUUGAAAGCAUUCCACAAUGUUGCUAGCCCAUAUUGACUCCAAUGCUUCCCACAGUUGUGUCAAGUUGGCUGGAUGUCCUUUGGGUGGUGGACCAUUCUUGAUACACACAGGAAACUGUUGCGUGUGAAAAACCCAGCAGAGUAGCAGUUCUUGACACAAACCGGUGUGCCUGGUACCUACGACCAUACAACGCCACUUUAAUGUUUUGUCUUGCCCAUUCACCCUCGAUAGGGCACACAUACACGAUCCACGUCUCAAUUGCCUCAAUACUUAAGAAAUCCUUCUUUACUCUGUUUGUGCAUCGGCAGUUUUGAUCUUGUUUCGUCAGUCACUGACAGUUACUGACAAUUUUUUGUUAGUCUAGCUAGUUAUGGACCGUGCACACAGGGCACGUGCCCAGGGGCCCUGAUAUCCAGGGGGCCCCCUCUUUGUUAGAUACUCUCACUCAGAUAUCAUAGAAUAAGUAAUGGUAAAAUACGUAAAAUUGCAGGAAAUUAGCUUUAAAACUGCAAAACUUUCUCUCCACGGCAAAAUUGGUAGAAUUUAAGGAAAUUGGCUUUAAAACUGCAAAUAACUUUCUCUGCCCUAUUGCAAAAUAAGUAAAACUGGAUCAUUUUAAAAUAAAAUUUCUACAUUUUCUCUCCACCCAUUGGCAAAACGUGUAGAAUUGUAAUAAAUUAGCUUUAAAACUAAAAAUGUUCUCUCCACAGUCAAGAGGUGGGCCACUAAAAUGUUUUGCCCUCUUGGUGGGGGGGGGGGGGUCCCCCAACCAAAUUAUGGUAUAUUGCCAACAAUUAAAGGGUUUACAAACCUUAUACCUAAACCUGGUAAAGAUGAUAUAUAAAGACAAUCUGCCCCCUGUGACUUUAAUGUAGAUGACAAGAUGUUUACCCACGUCAUAGAUAACAGACUGAAAGAGGGCAUGACAUUAUUACUGAUACUCAAUCUGACCUAUUAGAUUACAGACAAAUGAUUGAUGAUGGUUUUAUUUGAUUUAUUUUUAUAAAGCUUUGAUAAGAUUGAACACCCAUGUAUGUAACAAACACGGGAAUAUGUAGGUUUAGGUGAAAACAGUGUAAAGGUGAUUGGAAUGUUAUAUGAUGGUAAUAAUAGUUCAGCAUCUCUUCAACAUGGAACAUCUAAAUGAUUUGAGUGAAGAGAGGAAUUCGUCAAGGAUGUCCCAGCUCACCAUUACUGUUUAUUCUUGCUGCUGAGUUAUUAGCUAUCCUUAUAAAUGUUAGUCUGAAGAACAAAUCUUACUGCAGAGCGUUUCCCUUCACAUUUGAAAAUGAAGUAUCUUACAAGACUUCACUAGUUCUAUGGUCAGAAUAAGAACUAGAUCAGUUUCCUUUUUCACCUAAAGCUAAAGAUCUUGAUCUCAAAACAAUGAAUGACAUUUACCCAUGUUAUGAUUUCAUAAGACAGAGAUUCAACUUUGACUUUAACCAUUGUGUGUUUUGUAAAUCAGAUAUUGAAACGCAGAAUUAUUUUUUUCCCCAUGUCAACCUUCUAAAGCCUUUUGGGAUGCAUUUCAGUACUAAAUUACAUAAUGAUCUAUUCAUACGCACUUUAACGUUUAUCCGUUUGGUUUUCUAAUGGCGGACAGGAAAUGUACAGUAUGUAUAACUUGAUCAUAAUUGUUUUUUUUAACUACCUCAUUUAUUGAUUUCUUAAACAAGGUAAAGUGAAAUAAACAAUCUUUGAAAUUGGUUCAAUCCAAACAAGCCCUUAUUCUUUAUCUCUGUAAUUUGAUUCCUGAAUAGAUUCCUGAAUGUUUGUACAAGUUUGCUCAGUCUGUUUAUUGAAAUAAAUGUUCUUUCUACA